UGUGUAGGCGGUUCUUUAAGUUUGGUGUGAAAUCUCCCGGCUCAACCGGGAGGGUGCGCCGAAUACUGAGGGACUCGAGUGCGGGAGAGGAAAGUGGAAUUCCUGGUGUAGCGGUGAAAUGCGUAGAUACCAGGAGGAACACCGGUGGUGUAGACGGCUUUCUGGACCGUAACUGACGCUGAGACACGAAAGCGUGGGUAGCAAACAGGAUUAGAUACCCUGGUAGUCCACGCCCUAAACGAUGCAUAUUUGGUGUGGGUCAUUCAGUUGAUCCGUGCCGGAGCUAACGCGUUAAAUAUGCCGCCUGGGGAGUACAGUCGCAAGGCUGAA
rnacentral:rRNA from 1 species